ACAGCAGCAGCCACGGGAAUACGGAGGGUGCAAGCGUUAAUCGGAAUUACUGGGCGUAAAGCGCACGCAGGCGGUUUGUUAAGUCAGAUGUGAAAUCCCCGAGCUUAACUUGGGAACUGCAUUUGAAACUGGCAAGCUAGAGUCUUGUAGAGGGGGGUAGAAUUCCAGGUGUAGCGGUGAAAUGCGUAGAGAUCUGGAGGAAUACCGGUGGCGAAGGCGGCCCCCUGGACAAAGACUGACGCUCAGGUGCGAAAGCGUGGGGAGCAAACAGGAUUAGAUACCCCAGUAGUCCCUGUCUCUUAUAC
rnacentral:rRNA from 1 species